AUUGCAAUAAUUCAAAAAAUUCAAGUUAGAAAUUAUAUAGAGUCUGGCUACUAUACUAUAUAUAUACAUAUAGAGUCCGACUACUAUACUCUUAUGAGUACGAUCGUCCUCAUACUCAUAAGUUGUUUUCAAUGAUAGAGCUUCCGAAUCGACAAUCCAUACCGUUAAAUAUUAUUUAGAGCAUUUAAAACUUCUAGAAAUCAAAUUUCAUAAUUUUUCGACAUCAUUUACCUUACGAUCAAAAGGUCACAAAAUUGACAAUUUUUAACGGCCGGUGCGGGAUACUGGCUAGUUUAACAGUGUAAAAGAAUUGGAAUAGGUAGAAAAUUCUAUUUACUACCUAGAUAAAGAUCAAUAACUCCGAUCUUAAAUUAAAGAAUCCGAUCAUCCAUUUUUAUGAUGUCGUUCAAUUUUGACUGUUUAUUUUAUACCCGCUUGAUAGACUUUUUUAUGAUUUCGAAAAAUUACGAAAUUUAUUUUCCAGAGGUUUCAAAUACUCUAAAUCAUAUUUAACAGAGUCGAUCUUCGAUUCGGAAGCUCCAUCAUCGAAAACAACUUAUGAGUACGAAGGGCUCUAUACUUAUAAGAGUAUAGUAGCCCUACUCUAUAUAUAUAUCUAUAUAUAUGUAGAGUGCGUUUGGUAUGCUUCUGGAAGCACGGAGCGCUCCGUGCUUCCAAGUUGUUUUUGAUGUUCGGACUUUCGAAUCGACGAUCGCCUCCGUUAGACUUGAUCUAGAGUAUUUGAAGUAUUUAGAAAAUAAAUUUUGCAAUUUUUCGAUAUCAUUUGGCUAGUGAUUGAAGUCGCUCAAAACCAACAGCUGAAAAUAAAAAUUUUACAAAAUAUGAUGAUAUGAUAUUAAAAUUUUAUAUCAAAGUUAUUGAUCUUGUUUUAUACGGUAUAAAGAAUUUCUAUCAAAAUUUCAUAUGAUUUGGAUAUUUCUACACCGUUAAACUUGCAAACGGCUCACCACGGCCAUUAAAAUUAUUGAUUUUAAGUCCCUUCGAUCACUAGGCAAAUGAUAUCAAAAAAUCACAAAAUUUAUUUUCUAGAUACUUCAAAUACUCUAGAUCAACUCUAACGAAACCGAUCGUCGAUUCGAAAGUCCGAACAUCGAAAACGAUCUAGAAGCACGGAAGGCUCCGUGCUUCCAAAAGCAUAGUAGCCUCACACUAUAUAUAAAUAUAGAGAGAGAAAGAGAAAGUUGAGCUAGAAUACUCCUAAAAGCACCAUGUGAGUGGUGCUUUUGAGUUUUUAGCCUUUGGAUGGAGAGAUGUAUGGUUGGGAUGAUGGUGAUAGGUGGAAUAGUGUUUGAUCCAAGGGCUAUUAGUAAUCAAGGAGUGAUCCAAGGGCUAAAAACUUAGAAGCACCAAGAGAUUGGUGCUCCUAAAAGUAUUCUAGCUCAAUUCUAUAUAUAUAUAUAUAUAUAUAUAUAUAUAUAUAUAUAU
rnacentral:lncRNA from 1 species